rnacentral:rRNA from 1 species
UACGAAGGGUGCAAGCGUUAAUCGGAAUUACUGGGCGUAAAGCGCGCGUAGGUGGUUCAGUAAGUUGGAAGUGAAAUCCCCGGGCUCAACCUGGGAACUGCAUUUGUGACUGCAAGGCUAGAGUACGGUAGAGGGUGGUGGAAUUUCCUGUGUAGCGGUGAAAUGCGUAGAUAUAGGAAGGAACACCAGUGGCGAAGGCGACCACCUGGACUGAUACUGACACUGAGGUGCGAAAGCGUGGGGAGCAAACAGG